rnacentral:rRNA from 1 species
CCUACGGGAGGCAGCAGUAGGGAAUAUUGCGCAAUGGGGGAAACCCUGAAGCAGCAACGCCGCGUGGAGGAUGAAGGUUUUCGGAUCGUAAACUCCUUUUGUCAGAGAAGAUAAUGACGGUAUCUAACGAAUAAGCACUGGCUAACUCCGUGCCAGGAGCCGCGGUAAUACGGAGGGCGCAAGCGUUACUCGGUAUGACUGGGCGUAAAGAGCGCGUAGGCGGGAUAGCAAGUCAGAUGUGAAAGCCUAGGGCUUAACCAUAGAAAUGCGUGUGAAACUGUUAUUCUAGAGUAUGGGAGAGGAUGGUGGAAGUCUUGGUGUAGGGGUAAAAUCCGUAGAGAUCAGGAGGAAUACUGAUUGCGAAGGCGACCAGCUAGAACAUAACUGACGCUGAUGCGCGAAAGCGUGGGGAGCAAACAGGAUUAGAUACCCCAGUAGUC